CAGCUUCUCCUGUGGAGCUGGAACAUCACAGAAAAGUGCUUGUGAGCAAAAAAUCAGUGCCAGGUGCUCCUUCCCAGUGCUGCCAGUGCUUCUACACCCUGGUCAUGACAUGAUUACUGCCACAGUACAUGGACAUCAGUCUCAGCUCUGGAGGGAGCUGGGAGGAGAUCCAUAACGCAUCCAUCUGCCUCCACAACAUUUCAGAGAGGAAGAAUUGUCCCUGGCACACAGCAAAGCCUUACUAUGCAAUCAUCUUAAGCCUUGAAGCAUGAAAUUUGAUUUUCUUUACCAUAGGCUACAAGACUGGACUGUCCAGAGGUUUGUGAGUGGGAAACACAAGUCAGUGGAACCCCUGCAAGACAGGAGGAACUCGAAUUACUGGUGGAGAUUGCUGGGUUAUCAGUUGGAGCAAAGCUGGAAGGAAACCUUGGCUAUGGUGUCUCCUCAGAACAGAGUGCACAGGAUUCAGGAAUCCAUUUCACUUUGGAUGGGGGAUUCCAGGUGGACUUUGAGGGUUGUUGGGUCUUUGUACAGCUGGAAACACAAGCCCCUCAAAUUCUGCACUCUCCUUUGGUGGAGCCACAGUUUCUGAACUGGGAAAAGGAGACACGACCAGGUCCUUCCCAGGGAGGGAGAGGAGGCACAAGGGGUGAGCUCAAGGCUCCUGCAGUGGAUCUGAGGCUUUGCAAAUCCCAAAGAUCCAGGCAAGCCUUGAGCCCCCCAGAGCCCCCUGCAGCCACUUGUCCCAAGGUGUCCUUUGCAGAGCAUGGCCUGUCCUGGCUGUGCUGGACCAGGACAGUGGUCAGGGAAGACACUAUGGAAGGACAAGUCACAGAGGAAGGGUAAAACCCCCACUUUUUAAAAGGUUUGUGUUGAUUCUGGCUUUUCUAGGAGUUUUUUCACAGCAGCAACACCAAACCUCUACAGGGACACAACUAAAAUCACAACAAACUGCAUAAGGGCAGAGAAGUAUGGAAGGAAACAGUUAAAACAGUUUUUCAGCCAAAGAAAAUGUCCAUAUGAUGACAUGGUCUUGAUAUAGAUGACCUUUUUUCAUUUUAUGAAGAUUUGUAGAUGUAAUAAGAAAAAGAGAAAAAAAAUCAGAUUUUAUGGUGACGGAGGGAAGACUGGAAAUGGAUCAAAAGUAUGUGCUGGGGGUUCAAAACAUAAGCCCAGAUAUUAAAGUAAUCCAGACUUGCCUGUAAAGUAUUUUGCAAUAGUAAAAUAAAUUCAAAACUUUUUAAUGAUGAGUGCUGGAAACUUGUUUUGGCAGAAUCAGUGCAUGAGAUUGCCAUGGAGAAGGCUGGGGAAAAUGUUUGGGCCCUUAUUAAAGCUGCAUGGACAUAAAUAGAUAUGCAGGAGUACAGCUUGAGGUAUAUGUUUCAUCCCAAUAUUGCCUGACUGGAAAUUGCCUCAGGGACACUUGAGAUGCACAGCAGCUUUCCCCAGGCUGCCAUGCCUCCUGCAGGCUCAAUUUGCCACCUGUGGCCACACUGAGAGUGAAUCAAAUUCUUCCAGAAAUAAUUACACACAGUCCUGAAAACGGUUGUUUGCAGUCCACAAAGAAAAGCAGAUGUGAACACAGGGUUUGUCCAAACUCCCUUUCCAAGCACCACUUCCAGCCUGCUGAGGAGGCACUUUUUUGUUUUGAAAGAGCUGAGCCAAGCCCCAGUAUUACAGAACUGAAGCUCCUGAGAGCCAGCGCUGUUGUAACAGCCUCCAUAGGCCCAGAGAUCUUUCACUGCUCAUGAUGGAGUGCAUGGAAAGAGAAGAAAAUUCCCUCUGACCUCAUGAUUUCUUGGUAAAUCUGGCUGAUGGCUGCACCCUCCUGAGAGCAACAGGCUGACAGGUCCCCACAGGGAAGGAAUGCAAUGAGAAGCAGAUUGCUUAAAAACCCUACUAAUCAGGUAAUCCUUGAACAUGGUGCUGCUUCAGACCUGCAGUCUCCAUAUCUGUAUGGAUGUAGAGGUCUAUUCUAUUCCAUGAAUGAAUGCACACUCCUACCUAAACCUGCACACAGACAUUCAAAUAUAUGUAUGUAUUACAGACCUAAUUCCUUCCAGUAUAUGGUAAUCCUGGUUUGGUGCACUUAGCAAAACUUUGAUUUAUUGCCCUUUGAAUACUCUGAUGACAUUCAUCCCCAGAUGGAGUUCUGCUAUAGCUGAGACAAAUAUGUGUUUUGCCUGUAGGACACCUGCUAUUACACUUUCUUACUGUGGAGAAUGUUCAUUUUUCAAGCAAAUACUGUUCACUCUUUGGUAAGCAUGUAGCUCUCCAAAAUUCUUGUCAGGUUACUUUGCUGUUUCUGACAGCCUGGAGCAGAGGUUUGGUGUAUGUUUAAUGUGUAUUUACACUGACCUGGAGAAUUUGUAGUUCUUGUAAAACAUCUUGAAUUUACCUCUUUCUUUUUCUCAUCUUUAUGUCACUAGAAGGUGUAAUAUCCAACUUGGCUUCCAAAGUUUCUCACCUAAUUUCUGCAUUUUGGUGGAGUCUCAGCUGUUACAGUGUGCAAAAGUCUUGUAAGUCUUGUAAGGGUAAGAAAAAGUGAGCAGGGUGUAAGAGUUGGGUGAUCCUAGAUAUUUAUCUAACAAGAUAUUAAUCUUUUGAGCAGAAAUGUUCAUGUGCAGGAAGCUUUAGCUGAAGUAAAUAGAAAGGCUUUAGGCUGUGCUCAGAUUAAGACACUAUUUGUUCACCCAGCAGUAUCAGUGCUGACAGAGCUGUGUAGCUGCAGAAGGAUUUGUGCUUUAUCCUGACACAGGCAGCACCAGCCAAAAGGUCAGCCAGUGGUCAUAUCAUGGAGCUGAAUGAUUUCACAGACUGAACCUUUGUGCCCCAAGGAGCACAGAGGUUUUUAAGAUCUACCUGUGCUAUUAGAUUUCAUAUACAGAUUUCAUUUUUCUCUGAAGACUACAUUAAUUGGAAUGAACAUUCCUGUUUAUAUAAGGGCAGAAAAGGAAGAUAUCACCAUGCUGGAAAGCCUCACCUGACUUUUCUGGGCUGAUACUGUGCCUCCAGGGUAUUGCUGUGACUGUGAACAUAACAAGGGGCAUCUUCCUUUACUGUCUGCACAGACCAGGAUUUGCAAUGACUGUCAUAUGAUGGGAAGUGUUGGGUUUUGAGAUUCUGCUUCAGAAAUGAAUAAUUGUUGUAAGUUUUCAGUGUUCUCUACAUUUUAUAAAAUCAGAAAAAGUUAUUUAAAAUAUUGUGUCUGUAUAAACAUCUUUAAAGGAGCCACUGCAAGGUUUCUUUUCUUGGCUUUAUUUUUCCUGUGUUCCUGCUGAAUGGUUGAUAAACCCUUUAAAAUUGUGUAGAAAAUAAUUUGGGAAAAGUAUUAGAUUUGCAUUAGGCGUGAAUUUAGUCUCACAUUAAUGAUGUGCUGCCAACUAUUUAGAUGACAUUUACAAAAGAAGUAAAUGCCGCUGGCUCAGUGCCAGAAAAACUGGAAGUAAGAGCAAGAAAACAUGUGUCUCCCCUGAGGAUGAACAACAUAAAACAUGGCCCAGCUCCAAAGUUCUGUAAGUGUGAGGCAAGGUGCAGAACCCAGGCAGGCGGGAUGCAGGAGAAGGAUUUUGGGAUCCAGCUGUGUCAGGCACACCUGGCUCAGGCACAGCCCCAGGAGCACUCGCUGCUGCUCCAGCUGAGGGUGGGAGGUGGGAAAUAGGGCACAGGGGCAAGCAGGGGACGUGGUCACAGCCUCACUCACUGCCCUGCCUUGCCAAGCCCCACACAGUCAGAUGUUUUAUGACAUCUGAGAAAACACCACUGGAAAAAAAAUGUUUUAUGUGGCCCAGACUGUUUUUCAUGCAUUCAAUUUCAUGCAAGCAGGAAUAUGACUCUUGCUGGCUUAAAAAUAGGGUUGUAAGUCCUUUGAAGCAUUUUUUCCCCACUUUUUUUUUUCAUCAGAAAAAAGACUUUGUAUUCUGUGAAAGGCACAGGAGCCUGCUAGACAAAGUGGGAACAACCCCCCCCCCCCUUAGAAUAUUUCAAAAGCAAUGCUGCUGUGAUCAAUAAAUGAGAGAACAGGGGCAGAAAAUGGAUUGCAGGUCAAAAGAAUAUGAAAGAAAGGCAAACAGGAAUAAAAAAAGGAACCUGGACUUUUGCUGGCUAAAUCAAAUUUCAAACACACACAUAACCUAUAGACAAAUAAAAAUGUGUUUAUACAUCAGAAUGGAGGAUGUGAGUUCUGCUGUUUAUCUUGAAGAAGAACAGCAGCAGCAGUGCAGAUUUGUCCACUCUUCAGCACCAGCAGAUGUGGUCACCAUUAAUAAUUUGGCAGAAAUGGAGUACAAGGAGAUGACCCUCACAACCCACGGACACACAGAAGUCUCCUGCCUUGAAAACAAUCAAAAAUCAGACUGGAAAUGCUCAGAAAUACAAAACCAGUGGUCCUGGGAAAAAUAAAGUAAGUCAUAGGUAUAUUUCACUUUAUUUAUUUGUUCUUCAUUUUGAUAGCACAUCUCAAAUUACACUUGGUAAUGAGAUCUUACAAAUCUUUCCCCUGCUCUGGGACAAAAAGCAAAAACCACUCAUGCAUAAGGUAUUGAAUGCAUUCACAUCAAGUAUGUUGUAUGUUGGGCUUUUGAACAUCAUAAAUAUGAGAACAUUAAACCAACUGGUAUUGGAAUUUUUUAACAAUAUCAUUGUUACAGAUCACAGCAGCUUAAAAGGUUUAACUCAAGUUUACUUAUUUCCAAUAUUUUUACUUGUAAAAGUUUCCAGUAAAGUUUGAUAAGAGGUUAAAAAAUAUAGAGGCCCAAAUACUACAAAAUAAUGUUUUAAAUAUGAAGCAUUUCUAUUUAGUUUGUAAGUUUUAAAACUCCCAAUGGUUUUUCUGCUUUGACUGGGAAUGCGGUUCUGAAAUUACUUAGAUGAAGGUUAUGAAAUUCAUUUAUUUGUGAUUUUUAUCCAUCAUGAAACCUCUUGAAAGAGGUCUGGGCUUCCAGAAAUGUUGAACACCCAUCCUUUAAGAGGUCCUCAGCUAGAGACACAAAAUCUCCAUUUAUUCCUGCAAAUAUAAGCCAAAACACUGGGGACCCACUAAUUAGAGUUCUCAGGUCUAAGAAAGCAGGAUAAGAAUGAGUAUAGAUUCUGUUAUGCAAGUUGAUUUUGCUGCUUUUUUUUUUUUUAAGCUGUCACCUGAAUGCUUUGAUAGCCAUCAGGAACAAGUUAUUUUUGCAAUAGAGGGAUAGAGUCUAAUUGUAGAAGGGGAAGAAAAACUACCUACAGAAGCCAAGAUCAUGAUAAGAAAACAAAUUUAUUGAACAUCUUUUCUGAAAAGACUCUACCAUGCACAGGUGAAAUAUUGCUACAAACACUUGUUCUGAUCCUACAUCAUGCCUUAAACUGCUUUUUGAAAUAACCAGGGGAUGAAGGUGCAAGAUGAACCCAAGGAAACACUUGGGGAUGUACAAAAACACAGGAACAAAUCCAGGUGUUGUAACAUGGAUUAAUCUUAAUCCCUGGCUACCAGGCAUCUGCUUUCUGUAUAACCCUGAGUCAGUUCCUAGGAGCUUGUAGCAACACAGCUGGAAACAACCCUAAACUUUCAAUCUGGGACAUGGGGACUGUUUGCAAAGGAGGACAAAGCACAGGAGGAGGAAAGCUGGGUUGGGACUAACUCGGUUCAAGGGUUACACUGAAUUUAAAAAGCCAGCUCUCUGUCUUUUUAGAACAGGAAUUCAGACCUCUUUUUUUGCAUGUUGUAGGAUCCCUCAGGUGUCUCUGCAGCUCUCAGGUAUUAAACCACAAAGCUGCAAGAUCAAAGUAGUCCAGAUGCUCUGACAGAAGUAGGUAAGAGCGUGCAUCACAUCCACGUGGUGCUGAGAUCUCGGCCAUCGCACCGGCUGCUGACGGCUUCGUAAACACGUUCACUCCAGUUAUAAACUUACUUAUUUCUUGUGCCAAGACUUCAAUGUGCUUCAGUGCAUGAAGGAAAUUUACAACCCACUCCAGGAAUAUAUGUAUGUAUAUAUAUUCCAGCUCUCCCUUUCAUUUCAGUGAAAAAAAAAACAAAAAACAAACCAGCAGCAAUUAUAUUUUAGAUUUGUAACAGAUAUUUAUAACUUAGCUAUAAACAAAUGCUGAGCUAAAGCUUUGCAGAAAGCUCUCAGGAAAACUAAUUAUUAUAAGAUUUAUAGGAAUAUUAACCAUUUUUUUUCCAGUACCACAGUUAUACUAUGAUAUAUAAUCAUAGUAUAUCUACAUAUUAUACUAAUGACCAUGACUAGAUAUAAAUUGUAUCAUUUCUGACACUGGUUUACUCUUUUAAGUGGGAAAUACAAGAAGAAGCCUAUUGUUAUAACUCAGUGCAGUGAUUUUUUUUAAACUAUUUUAGUAAUAGGUUAAGAUCAGGUAAAUAUAAAGGGAAAGGACUCUGGGGAAGAUUAGUAACUUGUUUUUUGACUAGAUAUAACUUUGGUUGCUGUCUGUUCAAAGCAUACAAUCUAUGAAGUUUUAUUUAUGGGGAAAAGGAGGAAAGCUUAAAUCCAGAUAAAACGUUUUAAUUCCUCUGUGGUGUUAAUUUGGUUUCUUGAUCAAAAUUUAUUCUGAUUCAGAUUGUCACUUGGUUGCUCUAAUUCCACCAAGUCUUUGUAAAUGCUAAAUGGAAGAAGAAUCUGGGCCACUGUUGAAAAAGCUUUGCCUUGUGAUCUCCGUGUGAACUAUGCUGGGAAUGAGUUU